rnacentral:rRNA from 1 species
AUUGAACGCUGGCGGCAUGCUUUACACAUGCAAGUCGAACGGCAGCGCGGGCUUCGGCCUGGCAGCGAGUGGCGAACGGGUGAGUAAUACAUCGGAACGUGCCCAGUAGUGGGGGAUAGCUCGGCGAAAGCCGGAUUAAUACCGCAUACGACCUGAGGGUGAAAGCGGGGGAUCUUCGGACCUCGCGCUAUUGGAGCGGCCGAUGGCAGAUUAGCUAGUUGGUGGGGUAAAGGCCUACCAAGGCGACGAUCUGUAGCUGGUCUGAGAGGACGACCAGCCACACUGGGACUGAGACACGGCCCAGACUCCUACGGGAGGCAGCAGUGGGGAAUUUUGGACAAUGGGCGAAAGCCUGAUCCAGCAAUGCCGCGUGUGUGAUGAAGGCCUUCGGGUUGUAAAGCACUUUUGGCGGGAACGAAAAGGACUGUGCCAAUACCACGGUUCGAUGACGGUACCCGCAGAAUAAGCACCGGCUAACUACGUG